CUAUGCAGUUGCUAGGGUACCCGGGGCAGUUGCUAAGGUACUUGGGGUGGUUGCUAGGGUGUUGCUAUGCGGUAGCUAAGGUACUCGGGGCGGUU